AUUUAACGCUGGCGGCAGGCCUAACACAUGCAAGUCGAGCGGAUGAAGGGAGCUUGCUCCUGGAUUCAGCGGCGGACGGGUGAGUAAUGCCUAGGAAUCUGCCUGGUAGUGGGGGAUAACGUCCGGAAACGGGCGCUAAUACCGCAUACGUCCUGAGGGAGAAAGUGGGGGAUCUUCGGACCUCACGCUAUCAGAUGAGCCUAGGUCGGAUUAGCUAGUUGGUGGGGUAAAGGCCUACCAAGGCGACGAUCCGUAACUGGUCUGAGAGGAUGAUCAGUCACACUGGAACUGAGACACGGUCCAGACUCCUACGGGAGGCAGCAGUGGGGAAUAUUGGACAAUGGGCGAAAGCCUGAUCCAGCCAUGCCGCGUGUGUGAAGAAGGUCUUCGGAUUGUAAAGCACUUUAAGUUGGGAGGAAGGGCAGUAAGUUAAUACCUUGCUGUUUUGACGUUACCAACAGAAUAAGCACCGGCUAACUUCGUG
rnacentral:rRNA from 1 species